rnacentral:rRNA from 1 species
UGGGGAAUAUUGCACAAUGGGCGCAAGCCUGAUGCAGCCAUGCCGCGUGUAUGAAGAAGGCCUUCGGGGUGUAAAGUACUUUCAGUCGGGAGGAAGGUGUCAAGGUUAAUAACCUUGGCAAUUGACGUUACCGACAGAAGAAGCACCGGCUAACUCCGUGCCAGCAGCCGCGGUAAUACGGAGGGUGCAAGCGUUAAUCGGAAUUACUGGGCGUAAAGCGCACGCAGGCGGUUGAUUGAGUCAGAUGUGAAAUCCCCGGGCUUAACCCGGGAAUUGCAUCUGAUACUGGUCAGCUAGAGUCUUGUAGAGGGGGGUAGAAUUCCAUGUGUAGCGGUGAAAUGCGUAGAGAUGUGGAGGAAUACCGGUGGCGAGGGCGGCCCCCUGGACAAAGACUGACGCUCAGGUGCGAAAGCGUGGGGAGCAAACAGG